AGUGUAUGUUAAAGUAGGACUGAGAGAUAAAUAAAGUAGAUUUUCUUCUCUGGAACACACUGCAGUUUAAUUUCACUUCUUCUCUCAUUGUGUGAUGAAGGUGGAUUUAACUUUUAAAGGCAAAGAGACAAUCCUCUGCUAGCAUUAAAUGGAAAGGCUUUGGGAGAAGGGUUGAUUCCAGCUGAUAAAAGGAAAAAAGCUUCCUCUUCCCUCCCCAACAUUGAUAUUCUGGUCAUCAUCAGAAGGAGAAGGGAACAAAAGAUCCACUAUACAGUGCCAAGUAGCAAGAUGUCAAAAAGGACUAAACCAAUCCAGAGCUGCUGCUGAUCCUGCCUGUUCAUGAUACUGCCUGCUCCUUCUCCUCCUGAUCUCCUGAUCCUCUGGCCCUGACCCUUACCCUGAACACUGUUGUGGAUCCUGCUGGGUUGCUGGUACCUGCUGCUAUAUCUUCAGACAAACUUGGAGCUGCUCUCCAGGCAUCUGGUAAAAACCAGAGUGUGUUUUCCUUAGGUAAUAUAGUAGUAGUCUCUCGGUAACCGAGAAUUACGAUUGUCUUUGUGCAUUUUCAUCUAUGAUAGAUGAGUGUGCACUAAGACACUUGUGUGUGAAGGAGAUUUAAGUGGAAAAGUUGAUGCACAGAGACAGUCCCACUCUCUUGGCGUUGGAAGCCUGGGUCCAGUGGCACGAAAAGUCGUUACACCUGGAGACUUCCUCAGCUGCAUUGGAUGGCCAUGUUGUCUUUUGUGCUCCAACAUGCCCUAAGCACUCCACAGUGCUUUGCUGCAUCGCCCUCUCAGCCGUUGAACCUUCUUAUUGAUUUCUUCUGAUCCUUAGGCAAUAAUCAGAUUCCUAACUCCCUGUCUGUAUGGUAGGAGAAACAAACUGCUCCCCAGUGUUUUACCGCAGGGGGGAAGGGGAAAGAAAGUUACUCUUCCAAACAGGAAGAAAAUUACAAGCAUGGUUCAUUCUACAGAAGAACAGUAACUUGCCUAUUUCAGACAACUUCUAGUUAUAGGAUGUUUUCUCUUUCUACCCUUAUUGGGUGCACUGGUCCUUUCAAUCAUAUUGCCUGAUAUGCAGGGGAGAAAUUCAUCUUUCUACAGCCCUUUGCCAUUUGGACCUGCCCAGUCUCUAAGAUUCAUCCAGUUUGGCAUUCCACCAAACCAUGUACAGCGAGAAAUUCUCCCUCGCUAUGGGAGAUCCCAGAGCUUUCAAAAAAAAGGAAUCUGAACAAAUAGAGAAGAAACUUAAUGAGAUUGGAGGUGAAAAUGUUAAGACUUUUCAGACUCCAUUGUUUUAUGAAUGUCUCUGCAUUUUAUUGUAUUUGCUGGUUGUUUUGUUUAUGAUUUAAUUUUGUUGUUUUAAGUUCAUAUAUUAAUCUGAUCAAUACUAUUCUGUUGCACUGAAUCAUUUGAAUCUACCGUGUUUUAGCUAUUAGAUGUAUUCUGUUGCCUUUCCCCUAUAACUAGACUGAACAAAAUAUCAUUGUAUGAGUCCAUAAAAACAGCUUUUUUUUUUUUUUUUUACAUUUUGGCUUUGUUAAACGUCACAUAGAGGAUGGAUGGACUCUGUCAACCUUGUUAACAACCUUUGGAAAAUUUAAUCAGUUAAAUAUAUCAAAUUGAUUUUAAAGGGGCCUUCAGACCUGAUUUUAGAUUUUUUUCAAUAACUCUGACUGAUCAUUUUGCCUGCCUCUGAGUUAAAGGGUCUGUUUUAGUAGCUGAAGUGAAGUGCAAUUAUAUCCUUGUAGGAUUCCAGGAAGAAUCUCAGAGCUGAGCCACAAAGAGCUCAGCUCUGGACCUGUCAGACAGCAUUCCAAUGUAUAAUUUAUGAGCAGGCCAUGCGGUAUUUGUUCUGGGAGUUUGAAAAGAGCAGGCUGUACUUACCACACGUCUAGCUUGUACGUCAAGGAUUUGUCAAGCCAAUGUAAAUCCUCUAUAUGUAUUACCUGCCUCUGAUGUCAUUACAUCAGUAAAAAGUCAGGAAGGAAGAGACCCUCUCUCUCUUGUUCUCUUCCUCUGUCUGUCUCUCACUCCUACCUGUCUGCUAGCCACAUGGAUCUCUCCUGUUAUGGAGAGCCAGUAUACCUCUAAAGAUUUUCUCUCUUUUUUCUCUUUCUUCUCACCUCACUCCUGAUUCCUUAUUCAUGCAUUCUGGUUAAUUUCUAUCUUUCUGCAUUGUGUGCUCAGCAAAGGAAGAUGGAAGGGAAGCCGCGUCCUUCCAUGAAAAGAUAUGAUCUGGUAUCUAUCUCUAUUCAUUAACCUCUCUCUUCAACUUGUCUCUUCUCCUCUAAAUCAUAAUUCCUUUAGUUAUUCCCUUUCAUAUAGCAAUUGCAGGUAAAUUGCUGCAAUCCCCACUCCACAUUUGUAAAAAUAUAAAUGGAUGGGACCUCACAGUCUCAUACCAGAGGAGCUGGGGAGUUGGGAGCCAUGCUCCCAAAAGGGAGCAUCUGUCAUUUGUCAUUCUCCAGUUUACUCUACCCUUCUUCCAGAAUGAUCUAGAUUCUUGGUGACAUUUUUUUCAGAUGCAACAUCAACAGUAGAGAGGUUUGUUUUUGCUAGAUUCCUCUGCCAUAUUUUCAUAAUGAUGACAGUAAUAGAUUGAAAAAAAUAACUCAGUCAAGGUUAAAAGAUUACUACAAAUGAAAAACUUAUGACAAGUAUCCAUUAGCUUCUAAGUGUUUUUUUUUAUUUUGUACCGAAGACUCAUGUGAAUCCAAAUGAUAGUAGGUUUGUUUGUUGUUGUCAUUAAAUGUGUUAUUAUAACUUUGGGGAUUUUGAUACUUUUUGAAUGUUCGUUACCUGUUGUACUACUGUUCUUUAUAUAAAAAAAAAAAACUGUUAGUUUUUGAAAAUUAUUUGCACUCACACAGUGUAUCAUGGCCAAGUUUGAAAUGGAAAUAGAUCUCAUUUUGGGUGAGAAACCUUUGUAUUCUUCCUUUCCUUAGCUGACACAGUGUGUCAAUGAUUGUACACUAUGUAUUUUUGAUUUUUUUAAAAAAUUAUUAUUGUUUUUGCUUGCAUGUGCAAUAUACUAUUUCAGUUUUAUUUUUUCUAUCCUUUUUGUAUUUGAAGCACAUGUCACCAGUAUUGAGAUUUUCUUUAACUUUUUUGAUUUUGCAGUAAUAUAAGUUUAAAAUAUAUUUGCCCUAAUGUCAAUACAUACCCCAAAAUCUUUAGACUAUAAAAAAUAAUGCCAUUGAUUGUUUUAAAAUUUAUGGGACUUUGCUUAAUGAUUCUGUAGGAUUCCAGGAGAAGGAAAUACAAAAAGAGCCAUUGCACAGUGCCAAAGAAGCAUAAAGCUACUUGUAUAGUGUCAAUUGAGCACAAGGUCAAAAAGAACAAACCAGUCCUUUGUGAAUUUAUGACUUUCUGCACAUAGAUUGAAUAGACUUGAUCAUGUAUGAGACUUGAUGUUGUGACUGUUCAACAUGUGUUAAAUGCAGGUCUUCCUUGUACCACACACUCUAUAUCAACUAUAUAAUAUCAAUUAUUCUGUCUCCAUCCUGGCUCCUAUUUGCUGCCAUGAAUUUAGGCCCUUUUCUAUUUUUCAUAGUGUGGCAAACGUUCUGUAGUUUGUCUGUAGUUUGGCUACUGAUUGGGUAAAUGCAUAAUUGCUUAAAUCACUUUAAUUGGGCCCUGAUUCAAGGACCCGUUAUAGGCUUAUAUUCCUUUACUUUGAAUUUUAUAUUUACCACCUAUAGUCUAUAUUUCAUCCAGAAGUUAUCUUUUCUCUUUUAUUUUUUUUCAUGUUUUUGAUUUCUCUUGCCAAUUGACUCAUAUACCUCAUAAUUCAGCCAUGUAUCUCUAAGUGAUCCCUGUGUUUUUCAACAUCCUCUUUGGGGGGGUAUAUAAUUAUUAUAAUAUGCAAAGUUUAAAUUCUUUUUGAGAGUAAUUUUAGGAUAGAAACAGGCUAACUCUCCAAAUAUAGAAAAUGAACUGUUUGGAGAAAGCACCAUGAAGAUGCCUACACAGAAAACAUGCUGCACCAGAAGAUCCAGAGUAAACUUUGGGAUGUGGUGAUUUGAGCUGUGUGGGAUUGAAUGCAUUUCUUUUUGUAUGUAUGCUCUUUUGCCAAAUGGGGACUGUCCCCUAACUGGCUUUUUGUCAAUGUGUCUAGCAAUCAUGGGUUUGUUCCUUUCCCUUUUAUCCCUAAAUUAUUGUAAUUCAAAAGUUGAUUAUGUUAAAUGAUUUAAUUUGGGAAACUAGCCCCCCCAAAUGAUCAUCAGAAGGGAAUGUGUAAUUGGAAAUCUGUCACUAAAAACUACAUUUCCUGGGAGCCUACUGGCUUCCUGUUAUUACAUACUUCCUGUAGGCAGUGGAUAUUAGCCACUGGGUUGGCUGGCCUCAGCCUCUUUGGCUUACUGUCAGCAUGGUAAUUGUGGUAAGAGGGAAUUUUAAAGAGGCUCAUUAGCCAUGGGCACGUGAUUGGUUUUAUUUUGUUACCUUUUUAUUACUUUGCUUCUAAUGAUAAUUAAUCAAUCUUUUAAAAUAUAAUAUAUUUUUAUUAUUGCACAUUAAUUUUAAUUUUUACAAGUAGUAGAGGGGGUAUUUUCAUUGUGAAUUCCUCAAAUCAAUGAAAUUAGAGCUCUAAACACAAACAAAUAUGUGAGCAAAUAAAUAAUUCUGAAAUCGAGAUGAGAAAACCAAAUGGUAUGGUUUGUAAUUACAAUUGUUAACAGAAUAGUUUGAUGGGGGGAAGUCACUAAGCAAACAAUUCAGCUUUUGUAAAAUGAACUUUUUAAAUAAAUUUACCAAAUGUUACUAAACAGAGCCACAGGAACAAAAAAUAAUCUUAUUAAAGAAGAAAUCUAAAUACUCAUCCACCUAUCUAGAACUUUAGUAAGAUUCCUAUUUACCCCAUUCCUGAAAACUGUCUAUCCUAUCUUUGAUUAAAGUUCUCUUAGAUAUAAUCCUACCUUCCAAGGAAAUUCAUUCUACUUUAGAAUAGCUGUAAAUGCGAGAAAGUUUUUUUUUUGCUUAGUUUCUUUUUUCUAUAUGACAAAUAAAUGUCUUAUAUUUUUUCCCAUUGCUCCCUCCUUCUGCUACCUGUGACUGAAUAGAAUAAAUUUAAUCUUUCCAUCAGAUAAUAUCUUUAAAGAAUUUUGUAUAUACGUAUUGUAUUCCCACACCAAAAACUUUUUUUUUUUUUCAAGAACAAACAGCUUCCCUUUCUUCAGUACAUAUGCCUAUGGCAUUUUCUUGAUAUCCCUUGAAAUUCUGAUCAUUUUCCCCAACUUGUCCAAAAUCUUUUCAGACAAGUUUAGCUUUGAAUUCCUUCAAAUGUGACACCUAGAAGUGAAUUUGUUAGAUGUCUGACAAAGGCAAAAUUCACAGGGGCUAAUCUGUCUCUAGUUCCAGACAUAGUCACUCUCAUGGAAGUUUCAUGUAAGGAACUUCACUUUACUAUAGCCUUCUUCCUCAUCUCUGAAAAAUAUAUAUAGUUAGUUAGAUGGAUAGAUAGAUAGAUAGCUUGGACUGAACAGUUCCUAAGAUCAAUUCUAUUUCUUACAUAAGCCUUUGAAUCAUGAUACCACUUGCCUUCUUGACUUACAUGUCAUAAUGAUGAAUUCUGUGUAGUCUGAAGUUCUUUAAAACCUUCAGCUCUUUCAGAGAAAUUGCUGACUUAUACUGUAGCUUAAACUUCUGAAGGCAAAAUGAUAAAACUUCUUAUUAAUUUUCAUUUCAUUUUCUUGCAUCAGAUUUAUACCAAUAUUCUGCAUUUGUAACAUCUUCAUGUACCUUUAUUGUUUUAUGUUGUCUCUAUUCCUCUUAGCUUUGAGUUUUGAGUCAUCUGUUAAUAUGAUUCAUCAUGCCACCAAUAACUUCUCUACAUAUGCUCUAUGUCUUUAAAGCACAUAGACAGCAUACUCAUCAAAUUUGCAGAUAACACAAAGCUGAAGAAUAGCUAAAACUAGAUGAUAGCCAAGAUACAAAAAAAAAAAAAUCAAUAAACCACAACAACAAUCUGAAUGUAAUAAGUGACACUUAUGGGGGGGAUGUGAAGUUUGAAAGUUUGUCCCAAGGAAGAUGAAUUAAACUUUGAACAAUGGAAAAGACAUAAUUUUAAGCUUAAGUUAAGGGGGAAACAGCAAUACUAACUCCCUAAGAAUUAAAAUAAGUAAAUAAUGGAAUAUGCUUUUUUGUAGCAGGGAGAAGGCUUUUCCUCACUGGCCAUUGCUGGUUGAUCAUUCUUUAUGUAGGAUGCAGAGAGAUUUCUUGUUCAAGUAGAGCACGAAGUUAGUAGCCUUUGUUUUACCUUUUGACUCAAAGAUUCUUGUUAUUUAUCUCUUACUAUAAACCAGUGCCUUUUGAGCACUGAACAAAUUCGAUUUCUUCAUUUGUUCUUGAAACAAAUUAAUAUGCGCUAUGCAGAGAAGAUAAUGAAUAUUAAUUAACUCAUUAAUAGUCUGAGACAAAUAAGGCAUGACCUUAUGAUCAAGGACAUUUCAGUCCCAUAUAAAUGAUGAAAAGUGCAUAUAUAUGUACUGUGCAUAUAAAUAUGCAUAUAAAUAUGUAUAUGAGUAAAUACAUAUAUAUAUAUGUCCAUAUAUAUAUAUAUACAUAUAUAUAUAUCCCUUUGAUUUGAGUGAAACAAACAAUAAUAUCUAUAGAAAUAUGGCAGAAAAAAAAGAUGUUGAUUGGUUUGCAUUGCUAGGGAAGUUUUCAUGGAAGGUGCAACUACAGUUGAACUUUGAAUGAUGUGUAAGAUAGUCCAGACAAUAAAGGAGAUAUUCUGGGCUGCUAUGUAGGUGAAAUGAAAAAGAUCUGUUUUGAAAAUUGUGUCGUAGAACAGAGUGGAGGGAAAGAAGACAUAGUGCUGAGAAAAAAGAGAAUGAUACAAAUAUAAAUAUAUAACAUAAAGUUGAAAAAUAUAUUUGUGUUUACACAUACACACAAACACAUACACACUCUGGUGUCAGGUUGUGAAAGACUUUCAUUCCAAGUCUAAGAGGCAAAAUUUGACCUUGUGCUGAAGAGGAGCAAUAUGGUAGUAGAGUGUUAGGAAAUUUAAUUAGACAUGAGUGUGCACGGUGACUUAGAAAAAGAAGUCUGGGAUGGAACAAGAGAAUCAAAAGAAAAGGUUGUCAGAUGGGACAGGAUGAAAUCACCAAAGACUAGAUUAAAAUAGUUGUGGUAUGAUAUGCAUGGAAAAUAAGCAAUGAAGAUAUACUUGAAGCCAUUCAUAAUUUAUUGGAUAUGGACACUGAAGGAAAAGGGGGAUCAAAAUGGCUUGAAGUUUGCAAACUGUCAAACCUUGGAGAGGACUAUGUUGACAAAAAUAAGAUUAUCAGGAAUGGAAGUCAUUUUUUUUGGAAAUUUUUAUUUGAUUAGUUGAUUUAGAAUACUUUUACAUGGUUACAAGAUUCAUGUUCUUUCCUUCUUCUCCCCUAAGCCCCCUCCCAUAGCUGGCAUGCAAUUCCACUGGGUUUUACAUGUGUCAUUCAUUGAUCAAGACCUAUUUCCAUAUUAUUGAUAUUUGCAUUACAGUGAUCAUUUCCCAAUCAUAUCCCCAUCUGCCCAUGUGAUCAAGCAGUUGUUUUUCGUCUGUGUUUCUACUCCCACAGUUCUUUCUUUGGAUGUGAAUAGCAUUCUUUCUCUUAAGCCCCUCAGAAAUUGUCCUGGAUCAUUUCAUUGCUGCUAGUAGAGAAAUCUAUUACAUUCAAUUGUGCCAUAAUGUAUCAGUCUCUGUGUACAAUGUUCUCCUGGUUCUGCUCCUUUCACUGCAUCAAUUCCUGGAGGUUGUUCCAGUUCUCAUGGAAUUCUUCCAGUUUAUUAUUCCUUUGAUCACAAUAGUAUUAAUGUAAGUCAUUUUAAAGGGAAAGAUAAUUAUUUUGGUUUUUGGAACAAUUGGCAUUGAGGUGAUGCAAAACAUCAGUGUAGACAUAUCCAAAAGGCAGUUGAAGACAGAAAACUGAAGAUCAUGUGAGAAGUCAGGAGUGGAAUUUGGGAAUCAUUCUCAUAGUAGAAAUGGUUGAGGACAUAAAGGAUUAAAUUAUAAAGGGAUAAUAUAUAGAGAAAAGAGCUGAGGAUUAGGACAAAGCAUUAGCCUAAACCCUAAGGAACCCCUAACUUUUGCUUACUCUGGAGGAAGACUUAACAUGAGAGGUGAAGUGUGGGUACAGGAUGCAAGUGAAAGGAGGAAAUGUAUCUAAGAAAAGGGCAGAGGUUAUAAAAUCAGGAGAAGAACCAAGAGAACCAGAAGUUGUAAAAUUAUGAAGUCCGAGGAAGGAGAGAGUGAGGGAGGCCAGAACAAAAAAUUGCCUAGCCUUGGAAGUUCAGGAAUGCCUGAACAUGGAGCUGCCUAACCUUAGGAGUGUUAGAACCAUAAAUGUGCCAAAGACCCCAGCUGCAGUGGGUACCAGAUAAAGGCCAAGAAGACCCCAAUAACAUAAAAUUGUCAAGGUCCCAAGGAUAGUAUGUAACCGAUAAGGGCUGAGGGGAGCCAUACACACCGGCAAUGUUCCAACAAUGGUAUGUAGCAGAUAAGGGGCUGGAAGGGGGGCUAUACAUGCUGAAAAGUACUUAAGGCCCAGACUUUCAGAAGCAAACUCGGAAUUCUGAUGGUAGAGGUUCCCACUGGUGUGCAUACCAGUUCCAUAAUAAAUGGCCUUUUUCCUUGCCUGAUUGCAUUGUCCAUGGCCUUCCUUGGUGGUGGGUGAAAUCCUGGGCCUUAACAAGAUAAUUUCAAGAAAAGUUAAGUGGUCAACAGUUGCAAAGAGGGGAAGGCUACUGAGAAAUGAAUAUACAAAGCAGUAACAUUAAUACACAUAUUUACACAUGUAUAUGUAUAUACAUAAACACACACAGCGUUUUGUGGUAAAAAGGGCUCUAGUGACCCAAAAGAGGAGAGAUUUGAUGGAGUCACCAAUUCGCAGCCAGACUGCAAGAGAGUUCUAAAAGAUAUUUAGCAGUUAUGGGUAAGAGAAAAAUAGGUCAGAAGCUCGGGAAGGCAGUGAGGUCAAGCAAAGUGUUUAUUUCAAAACCAGAGAGUCCGGCUCACAUUUGAGGUAGGAGCAGAAGGAGCCAGUGCAGAUUGUAAAGAUGAUGUGGCAGACCAACAAUCUGCAUUCAGUUUGUUAGUAGUAAAAUGAGACUGAAAUAUGUGAAAUCAAACCCAAGAAGAAUAAAGUUAUUCUGUUCUGCAUAUUUGCAAAUCAAUAUAUUUAGAAUGUGGUUAGAAUUGAAGGAUUAGGGAAGAACAACUACCCAGCUUCUCAUUUGAUCCAAAGCAACAUACCUGUUCAAAUGCCAGUGUGUUUUUCCAAUACUGUCUGCUCCCAACACUCAGCUCUAAUAGACUCUCCAUUUUAACCAUCUUCCCCCUUACACUGAGAGCUCUUUGUAUUUUAUUUCCAUGUAACUCAAGAGUCCAUUCAAAGCCAUUUCUGGCAAUGUGGUAUGGAGGAUUACUGGGGUGUGUUAUAGCUCUUCUAAAUCCCUUACAGCUUAUCUGUUUGGGGAUUUAUUUAUGUUUCUAUUACAUUUAUUAUGGAUGUGCCUCUUGAAAUGAUCUCUGUAAUACAAUACAUAGGGGAGUUACUUAACAGCUUUUAAAACUCUUUAUCAAGGAAAAAAUGAUGUUUCUCAUUUCCAGAGAGGUUGAAUGACUUUUAACUUUCAAGACAAUGUUUCUUUCCAUUUUCACUUACUUUAUCCAUUAGACAUUUUAAGUCUCAUCUGUUUUGUCACUUUGUCACAUUAUCAUCAUUAGGCAGACCUCAAAAA